GAUGAACGCUAGCGGCAGGCUUAAUACAUGCAAGUCGAGGGGCAGCAGGGAUAGCAAUAUUCGCUGGCGACCGGCGCACGGGUGCGUAACACGUAUACAAUCUGCCUUUUACAGGGGGAUAGCCUUUCGAAAGAGAGAUUAAUACCCCAUAAUAGUUGACCGGGCAUCUGGUUGAUUUGAAAGCUCCGGCGGUAAGAGAUGAGUAUGCGCCUGAUUAGCUAGUAGGUGAGGUAACGGCUCACCUAGGCUACGAUCAGUAGGGGAUCUGAGAGGACUAACCCCCACACGGAUACUGAGACACGGAUCCCGACUCCUACGGGAGGCAGCAGUAAGGAAUAUUGGACAAUGCCCGCAAGGGUGAUCCAGCCAUGCCGCGUGCAGGAAGAAGGCCCUAUGGGUCGUAAACUGCUUUUACACCGGAGAAAACCUCCCUCGUGAGGGAGCUGAUAGUAUGGUGAGAAUAAGCAUCGGCUAACUUCGUGCCAGCA
rnacentral:rRNA from 1 species